rnacentral:rRNA from 1 species
GUGGGGAAUCUUGCGCAAUGGGCGAAAGCCUGACGCAGCCAUGCCGCGUGAAUGAUGAAGGUCUUAGGAUUGUAAAAUUCUUUCACCGGGGACGAUAAUGACGGUACCCGGAGAAGAAGCUCCGGCUAACUUCGUGCCAGCAGCCGCGGUAAUACGAAGGGGGCUAGCGUUGCUCGGAAUUACUGGGCGUAAAGGGCGCGUAGGCGGACAGCUUAGUCAGAGGUGAAAGCCCAGGGCUCAACCUUGGAAUUGACUUUGAUACUGGCUGUCUUGAGUUUGGGAGAGGUGAGUGGAACUCCGAGUGUAGAGGUGAAAUUCGUAGAUAUUCGGAAGAACACCAGUGGCGAAGGCGACUCACUGGCCCAAUACUGACGCUGAGGCGCGAAAGCGUGGGGAGCAAACAGGAUUAGAUACCCUUGUAGUCC